rnacentral:rRNA from 1 species
CUCUAGAGAGACUGCCAGGGAUAACCUGGAGGAAGGUGGGGAUGACGUCAAAUCAUCAUGCCCCUUAUGCUUAGGGCUACACACGUGCUACAAUGGGUAGUACAGAGGGUUGCCAAGCCGUAAGGUGGAGCUAAUCCCUUAAAGCUACUCUCAGUUCGGAUUGUAGGCUGAAACUCGCCUACAUGAAGCUGGAGUUACUAGUAAUCGCAGAUCAGAAUGCUGCGGUGAAUGCGUUCCCGGGUCUUGUACACACCGCCCGUCACACCACGGGAGUUGGAGACGCCCGAAGCCGAUUAUCUAACCUUUUGGAAGAAGUCGUCGAAGGGGGAAUCAAUAACUGGGGUGAAGUCGUAACAAGGUAGCCGUAUCGGAAGGUGCGGCUGGAUCACCUCCUUUCUAAGGAGA